rnacentral:rRNA from 1 species
AUUGAACGCUGGCGGCAGGCCUAACACAUGCAAGUCGAGCGAGCGGCGGACGGGGGAGAAAUGUCUGGGAAACUGCCUGCUGGAGGGGGAUAACUACUGGAAACGGUAGCUAAUACCGCAUACCAUCAGAUGUGCCCAGAUGGGUUUAGCUAGUAGGUGGGGUAACGGCUCACCUAGGCGACGAUCCCUAGCUGGGCUGUGAGGAUGACCAGCCACACUGGGACUGGGACACGGUCCAGACUCCUACGGGAGGCAGCAGUGGGGAAUAUUGCGCAAUGGGCGCAAGCCUGAUGCAGCCAUGCCGCGUGUGUGAAGAGGGCCUUCGGGUUGUAAAGCACUUUCAGCGGGGAGGCGUUACCCGCAGAAGAAGCACCGGCUAACUCCGUGCCAGCCGCCGCGGUAAUAC